rnacentral:rRNA from 1 species
CCUACGGGGGGCUGCAGUGGGGAAUAUUGGACAAUGGGGGCAACCCUGAUCCAGCAAUGCCGCGUGUGUGAAGAAGGCCUGCGGGUUGUAAAGCACUUUAGGUAACGAGGAAAGUCUAUACGUUAAUAGCGUAUGGAAUUGACGUUAGUUACAGAAUAAGCACCGGCUAACUCUGUGCCAGCAGCCGCGGUAAUACAGAGGGUGCAAGCGUUAAUCGGAAUGACUGGGCGUAGCGCGUGCGUAGGUGUCUGAAAUCCCCGGGCUUAACCUGGGAACUGCAUUUAAUACUGGUUGGCUAGAGUGUGGGAGAGGUAAGUGGAAUUUCCGGUGUAGCGGUGAAAUGCGUAGAUAUCGGAAGGAACACCAGUGGCGAAGGCGGCUUACUGGCCUAACACUGACACUGAGGCACGAAAGCGUGGGGAGCAAACAGGAUUAGAUACCCCAGUAGUC